rnacentral:rRNA from 1 species
UACGGGGGGGGGCAAGCGUUGUUCGGAAUUACUGGGCGUAAAGCGCGCGUAGGCGGCUUUGCAAGUCGGGUGUGAAAUCCCCAGGCUUAACCUGGGAACUGCAUUCGAGACUGAAUAGCUAGGGUACGGUAGAGGGAAGUGGAAUUUCCGGUGUAGCGGUGAAAUGCGUAGAUAUCGGAAGGAACAUCAGUGGCGAAAGCGACUUCCUGGACCAGUACCGACGUUCAGGCACGAAAGCGUGGGGAGCAAACAGG